rnacentral:piRNA from 1 species
UGGGUUCUAUAAGAGAGCAGG